rnacentral:rRNA from 1 species
AAUUGGAGGGCAAGUCUGGUGCCAGCAGCCGCGGUAAUUCCAGCUCCAAUAGCGUAUAUUAAAGUUGUUGCAGUUAAAAAGCUCGUAGUUGAAUUUCGGGAUCAAUAUUUCGGUCAUGCCGUUGGUAUGCACUGUUAUCAUUGAUUUCUCACCUUCUAAAGAACCGUAAUGCCAUUAAUUUGGUGUUACGUGGAAUUAGGACUGUUACCUUGAAAAAAUUAGAGUGUUUAAAGCAGGCUCACGCUUGAAUACAUUAGCAUGGAAUAGUGAAACAGGACAUCCGAUUCUAUUUUGUUGGUUUCUAGGAUCGAUGUAAUGAUUAAUAGGGAUAGUUGGGGGCAUUAGUAUUCAAUUGUCAGAGGUGAAAUUCUUGGAUUUAUUGAAGACUAACUACUGCGAAAGCAUUUGCCAAGGAUGUUUUCAUUAAUCAAGAACGAAAGUUAGGGGAUCGAAGACGAUCAGAUACCGUCGUAGUCUUAACCAUAAACUAUGCCGACUAGGGAUCGGAUGAUGUUAAUUUUUUAAUGACUCAUUCGGCGCCUUACGGGAAACCCAAGUGU